AGUGGAGUGAUGAGUGCUGGAUAAAUUGCUAGCGGCGGACGGGUGCGUAACACGUGGGUAACCUGCCCCUAUCACUGGGAUAACACACUGAAAAGUGUGCUAAUACCAGAUAACAUAAGCUUUUGGCAUCAUUAGCUUAUCAAAGAAUUUCGGAUAGGGAUGGGCCCGCGUCUGAUUAGCUAGUUGGUGAGGUAACGGCUCACCAAGGCAACGAUCAGUAGCCGACCCGAGAGGGUGAUCGGCCACACUGGAACUGAGACACGGUCCAGACUCCUACGGGAGGCAGCAGUGGGGAAUAUUGCACAAUGGGCGAAAGCCUGAUGCAGCAACGCCGCGUGAGCGAUGAAGGCCUUCGGGUCGUAAAGCUCUGUCCUAUGGGAAGAUAAUGACGGUACCAUAGGAGGAAGCCCCGGCUAACUACGUGCCAGCAGCCGCGGUAAUACGGAGGGUGCAAGCGUUAAUCGGAAUUACUGGGCGUAAAGCGCACGUAGGCUGUUGUGUAAGUCAGGGGUGAAAUCCCACGGCUCAACCGUGGAGCUGCCUUUGAUACUGCACGACUUGAAUCCGGGAGAGGGUGGCGGAAUUCC
rnacentral:rRNA from 1 species